rnacentral:rRNA from 1 species
UACGUAGGGUGCAAGCGUUGUCCGGAAUUAUUGGGCGUAAGGAGCUCGUAGGCGGUUUGUUGCGUCGGCUGUGAAAUCCCGAGGCUCAACCUCGGGUCUGCAGUCGAUACGAGCAAACUAGAGUGUUGCAGGGGAGACUGGAAUUCCUGGUGUAGCUGUGAAAUGCGCAGAUAUCAGGAGGAACACCGGUGGCGAAGGCGGUUCUCUGGGCAUGUCCUGACGCUGAGGAGCGAAAGUGUGGGGAGCGAACAGG